rnacentral:rRNA from 1 species
UUUAUUGAGAGUUUGAUCCUGGCUCAGGACGAACGCUGGCGGCGUGCCUAACACAUGCAAGUCGAACGGAG